AAAACCUCAGAAAAGAGGACUCAGUGCUUCAGUGAGAGGAGCCUUUCUUAGAAAGGAGAAUGAGGGGAAAAAUAACCAAAAAGAGAAGUAAGAUAAAGGGCAGGCAGAAUAGUCAAAUAUGAAACCUUUCAAUAGAAAGGUCUCAGUCUUGAGCUUUGAAGACAAAGAAGGGGCUCUGCAGAACACGUGGAAUUUCAGAUGUUUGCUGCCUUCAUCAGCAAGUUAAAGGAUGCAGUGGCAACCGAAGCUGCAUGGAUUCAUUGACCUUCCAGUUCUGUACCCUGCAUUUGGACCUUUGCUGGAUAAAAUAGUCCACUUGGAGUUUUUGGUAACCUUGGGGAAACAAGUUACAGCAACGAUCAGCCCAGAUGACAAAUUUGCAAGCAGGCCAGGGUGAGAGCUGAAGAAUCUGAUCUGAGAAAGAAAAGAAAAUACUCCCAUAACAAAGAAACAAACCAACCUCCCCAAACCACCAACCCACGAGUAAUUUGAAAGAAAAUUCUGUUCAGGAAAAUAUGGAUGAUCCUGUUUUCUGGACAAAGG